rnacentral:rRNA from 1 species
GAUUAACGCUGGCGGCGUGCCUAAUACAUGCAAGUCGAACGGACCUUUAUUUUUGAGAAUCCCUUUAUGGGGCGUCUCAUAAAUACUGGUUAGUGGCGGACGGGUGAGUAACACGUUGGUACCUGCCCUCUAGUGGGGAAUAACUGGCCGAAAGGUCGGCUAAUACCGCAUGUGGUCUACGGAUCAAAGCAGCAAUGCGCUAGAGGAGGGGCCUGCGUCUGAUUAGCUAGUUGGAGUGUAAUGGACUACCAAGGCGACGAUCAGUAGCUGGUUCGAGAGGAUGACCAGCCACACU